UGGGGAAUUUUGGACAAUGGGCGCAAGCCUGAUCCAGCCAUGCCGCGUGCGGGAAGAAGGCCUUCGGGUUGUAAACCGCUUUUGUCAGGGAAGAAAUCUUCUGAGUUAAUACCUCGGGAGGAUGACGGUACCUGAAGAAUAAGCACCGGCUAACUACGUGCCAGCAGCCGCGGUAAUACGUAGGGUGCAAGCGUUAAUCGGAAUUACCGGGCGUAAAGCGUGCGCAGGCGGUUUUGUAAGACAGAGGUGAAAUCCCCGGGCCCAACCUGGGAACUGCCUUUGUGACUGCAAGGCUUGAGUGCGGCAGAGGGGGAUGGAAUUCCGCGUGUAGCAGUGAAAUGCGUAGAUAUGCGGAGGAACACCGAUGGCGAAGGCAAUCCCCUGGGCCUGCACUGACGCUCAUGCACGAAAGCGUGGGGAGCAAACAGGAUUAGAUACCCUGGUAGUCCACGCCCUAAACGAUGUCAACUGGUUGUUGGGAAGGUUCCUUCUCAGUAACGUAGCUAACGCGUGAAGUUGACCGCCUGGGGAGUACGGCCGCAAGGUUGAAAACUCAAAGGAAUUGACGGGGUCAUAGCUGUUUCCUG
rnacentral:rRNA from 1 species